GAUGAACGCUGGCGGCGUGCCUAAUACAUGCAAGUCGAGCGAACGGACCAGGAGCUUGCGUCUCUGAUGUUAGCGGCGGACGGGUGAGUAACACGGGGAUAACCUACCUAUAAGACUGGGAUAACUUCGGGAAACCGGAGCUAAGACCCAAUGAUAUUCUGCACCUCAUUGUGCAAACGUUAAAGACGGUCUUUCGGACACUAAUAGAUUGAUCCGCGCUCCAUUAGCUAGUUGGUAAGGUAACGGCUUACCAAGGCAACGAUGCAUAGCCGACCUGAGAGGGUGAUCGGCCACACUGGAACUGAGACACGGUCCAGACUCCUACGGGAGGCAGCAGUAGGGAAUCUUACGCAAUGGGCGAAAGCCUGACGGAGCAACGCGGCGUGAGUGAUGAAGGUCUUCGGAUCGUAAAACUCUGUUAUUAGGGAAGAACAUAUGUGUAAGUAACUGUGCACAUAUUGACGGUACCUAAUCAGAAAGCCACGGCUAACUACGUG
rnacentral:rRNA from 1 species